rnacentral:lncRNA from 1 species
AAAACACUUGCACACACAGAGAUGGCAACGGGGAAAACGCUCCCCCAUCCCCGUCCCCGUGGGGAAGAAAAAUCCCCAUCCCCGCCCCCGUGAACGCUCGUGGGGAACGUUUCCUUCCCAUCCCCGUCCCCGCACGGGGAAUUUGUCCCCGACGGGUCCCGUCCCGCAAAUUAUCACAGUAGAACACGUUCGCAUCAAGGAAGAAUCAACAUCAUCAGCCAAGAGUGCGUAGGAAUAAACAAGUCGAAUCAAGAAACGAGUCCGCAACUAUACAUCACCGUAUAGCACAAUUUAAUAAUCAAGAGAAUCAAAUCUAAGCUGUUUUCAACACAACAGCGUCGUACAACGCCACUACCACAAGCCAAACUCUGUUUCUCACCCUUCCUUGUCGUCGUGAUGCUAUGUUGGAGCUCGUGGGCGCGGAAGACAAAGCUGUACAGCUAGUGUUGUUGAUACGUAGACGUCAGCUGUGGAUUCGUCGAUGGCCGCGGACGGAGCGUCACCCAAAUCUUGCGCGGCGCCGUGGCAGUCUUCGGCCUGUGUCACGGACUCGUGGCCUCCUGCGCGCGACCGCGCGUGCAGCAGAAGUUUGGGCGCGGGACGGCAGGGUCUGGGCGCCAGCCGCGCGGGGUCCGGCCGUCCGGGGCUCCGGGGUUCGGGCGCAGGAGGCUGGGGCCUGGGGGUGGCCGGCCGGCGGUGGCUAGGAAGGAAAGGGGAUGAGGGACUGAGGAACGGAUGAUGGAUGGAGUGAGUCCAGGGUUUGGAAUUUCUCAGCUGGUUAUUAUAACCUCUCGUAUUGGGCCUCGU